UUUUAUUUGAUGCUUGCAUCUUUUAAAAAGUUGAGUGGCGAACGGGUGAGUAACACGUGGGUAACCUGCCUUAAAGUGGGGGAUAACACUUGGAAACAGGUGCUAAUACCGCAUAACCAUCAAAACCACCUGGUUUUGAUGUUAAAGAUGGUUCUGCUAUCGCUUUAAGAUGGACCCGCGGCGUAUUAGCUAGUUGGUGAGGUAACGGCUUACCAAGGCAAUGAUACGUAGCCGAACUGAGAGGUUGAUCGGCCACAUUGGGACUGAGACACGGCCCAAACUCCUACGGGAGGCAGCAGUAGGGAAUCUUCCACAAUGGACGAAAGUCUGAUGGAGCAACGCCGCGUGAGUGAAGAAGGUUUUCGGAUCGUAAAACUCUGUUGUCAGAGAAGAACGUGUGUGAGAGUAACUGUUCACGCAGUGACGGUAUCUGACCAGAAAGUCACGGCUAACUACGUGCCAGCAGCCGCGGUAAUACGUAGGUGGCAAGCGUUGUCCGGAUUUAUUGGGCGUAAAGGGAACGCAGGCGGUCUUUUAAGUCUGAUGUGAAAGCCUUCGGCUUAACCGAAGUCGGGCAUUGGAAACUGGGAGACUUGAGUGCAGAAGAGGAGAGUGGAACUCCAUGUGUAGCGGUGAAAUGCAUAGAUAUAUGGAAGAACACCAGUGGCGAAAGCGGCUCUCUGGUCUGUAACUGACGC
rnacentral:rRNA from 1 species